rnacentral:rRNA from 2 species
CCUUGAAUGUGCGUAGUCUGACGGAGCACGCCGCGUGAGUGAUGAAGGCUUUCGGGUCGUAAAACUCUGUUGUUAGGGAAGAACAAGUACGAGAGUAACUGCUCGUACCUUGACGGUACCUAACCAGAAAGCCACGGCUAACUACGUGCCAGCAGCCGCGGUAAUACGUAGGUGGCAAGCGUUAUCCGGAAUUAUUGGGCGUAAAGCGCGCGCAGGCGGUUUCUUAAGUCUGAUGUGAAAGCCCACGGCUCAACCGUGGAGGGUCAUUGGAAACUGGGGAACUUGAGUGCAGAAGAGAAAAGCGGAAUUCCACGUGUAGCGGUGAAAUGCGUAGAGAUGUGGAGGAACACCAGUGGCGAAGGCGGCUUUUUGGUCUGUAACUGACGCUGAGGCGCGAAAGCGUGGGGAGCAAACAGGAUUAGAUACCCUGGUAGUCCACGCCGUAAACGAUGAGUGCUAAGUGUUAGAGGGUUUCCGCCCUUUAGUGCUGCAGCUAACGCAUUAAGCACUCC